AUGGGAUUGUGGCUGAACUAGAAGAGAAGAAAAAUCACCAAGAUAUGGAUACUGUGAUUGAUGAAGCUUUGGACAUAAGUUCUUUUUGCAGGCUGAGUAUAGAGCUCUUCCUCAAAGGAAAGGAGAUCAAGGAGGAAGGCAACUGAGACCAUGAGAGUUUGGGGAAAUUUGUGAUGAUUAUCUAUAAGUCAGUCCAAGGCCAGAUCAUAAAAUCUACCUGCCAGUAUAUUGUUGUAUUGGACUCAGAUGCAGGUGGUUGGAAAUGCAUUCUACUUUGGAGCCAGGCAGAUUUAAAUCUGAAUUCCUUGCCAUGUGGAAAUUGUGUGAUGCUGGGAUCCUGUCGAAGAUGUUGCAUUCUAUUUAACCAUCACAUGUCCUUAGUCUCCUGUG